rnacentral:rRNA from 1 species
UAAGCGACUAAGCGUACACGGUGGAUGCCCUGGCAGUCAGAGGCGAUGAAGGACGUGCUAAUCUGCGAUAAGCGUCGGUAAGGUGAUAUGAACCGUUAUAACCGGCGAUUUCCGAAUGGGGAAACCCAGUGUGUUUCGACACACUAUCAUUAACUGAAUCCAUAGGUUAAUGAGGCGAACCGGGGGAACUGAAACAUCUAAGUACCCCGAGGAAAAGAAAUCAACCGAGAUUCCCCCAGUAGCGGCGAGCGAACGGGGAGCAGCCCAGAGCCUGAAUCAGUGUGUGUGUUAGUGGAAGCGUCUGGAAAGGCGCGCGAUACAGGGUGACAGCCCCGUACACAAAAAUGCACAUGCUGUGAGCUCGAUGAGUAGGGCGGGACACGUGGUAUCCUGUCUGAAUAUGGGGGGACCAUCCUCCAAGGCUAAAUACUCCUGACUGACCGAUAGUGAACCAGUACCGUGAGGGAAAGGCGAAAAGAACCCCGGCGAGGGGAGUGAAAAAGAACCUGAAACCGUGUACGUACAAGCAGUGGGAGCACGCUUAGGCGUGUGACUGCGUACCUUUUGUAUAAUGGGUCAGCGACUUAUAUUCUGUAGCAAGGUUAACCGAAUAGGGGAGCCGAAGGGAAACCGAGUCUUAACUGGGCGUUAAGUUGCAGGGUAUAGACCCGAAACCCGGUGAUCUAGCCAUGGGCAGGUUGAAGGUUGGGUAACACUAACUGGAGGACCGAACCGACUAAUGUUGAAAAAUUAGCGGAUGACUUGUGGCUGGGGGUGAAAGGCCAAUCAAACCGGGAGAUAGCUGGUUCUCCCCGAAAGCUAUUUAGGUAGCGCCUCGUGAAUUCAUCUCCGGGGGUAGAGCACUGUUUCGGCAAGGGGGUCAUCCCGACUUACCAACCCGAUGCAAACUGCGAAUACCGGAGAAUGUUAUCACGGGAGACACACGGCGGGUGCUAACGUCCGUCGUGAAGAGGGAAACAACCCAGACCGCCAGCUAAGGUCCCAAAGUCAUGGUUAAGUGGGAAACGAUGUGGGAAGGCCCAGACAGCCAGGAUGUUGGCUUAGAAGCAGCCAUCAUUUAAAGAAAGCGUAAUAGCUCACUGGUCGAGUCGGCCUGCGCGGAAGAUGUAACGGGGCUAAACCAUGCACCGAAGCUGCGGCAGCGACGCUGAUGCGUUGUUGGGUAGGGGAGCGUUCUGUAAGCCUGCGAAGGUGUGCUGUGAGGCAUGCUGGAGGUAUCAGAAGUGCGAAUGCUGACAUAAGUAACGAUAAAGCGGGUGAAAAGCCCGCUCGCCGGAAGACCAAGGGUUCCUGUCCAACGUUAAUCGGGGCAGGGUGAGUCGACCCCUAAGGCGAGGCCGAAAGGCGUAGUCGAUGGGAAACAGGUUAAUAUUCCUGUACUUGGUGUUACUGCGAAGGGGGGACGGAGAAGGCUAUGUUGGCCGGGCGACGGUUGUCCCGGUUUAAGCGUGUAGGCUGGUUUUCCAGGCAAAUCCGGAAAAUCAAGGCUGAGGCGUGAUGACGAGGCACUACGGUGCUGAAGCAACAAAUGCCCUGCUUCCAGGAAAAGCCUCUAAGCAUCAGGUAACAUCAAAUCGUACCCCAAACCGACACAGGUGGUCAGGUAGAGAAUACCAAGGCGCUUGAGAGAACUCGGGUGAAGGAACUAGGCAAAAUGGUGCCGUAACUUCGGGAGAAGGCACGCUGAUAUGUAGGUGAAGUCCCUUGCGGAUGGAGCUGAAAUCAGUCGAAGAUACCAGCUGGCUGCAACUGUUUAUUAAAAACACAGCACUGUGCAAACACGAAAGUGGACGUAUACGGUGUGACGCCUGCCCGGUGCCGGAAGGUUAAUUGAUGGGGUCAGCGCAAGCGAAGCUCUUGAUCGAAGCCCCGGUAAACGGCGGCCGUAACUAUAACGGUCCUAAGGUAGCGAAAUUCCUUGUCGGGUAAGUUCCGACCUGCACGAAUGGCGUAAUGAUGGCCAGGCUGUCUCCACCCGAGACUCAGUGAAAUUGAACUCGCUGUGAAGAUGCAGUGUACCCGCGGCAAGACGGAAAGACCCCGUGAACCUUUACUAUAGCUUGACACUGAACAUUGAGCCUUGAUGUGUAGGAUAGGUGGGAGGCUUAGAAGUGUGGACGCCAGUCUGCAUGGAGCCGACCUUGAAAUACCACCCUUUAAUGUUUGAUGUUCUAACGUUGACCCGUAAUCCGGGUUGCGGACAGUGUCUGGUGGGUAGUUUGACUGGGGCGGUCUCCUCCUAAAGAGUAACGGAGGAGCACGAAGGUUGGCUAAUCCUGGUCGGACAUCAGGAGGUUAGUGCAAUGGCAUAAGCCAGCUUGACUGCGAGCGUGACGGCGCGAGCAGGUGCGAAAGCAGGUCAUAGUGAUCCGGUGGUUCUGAAUGGAAGGGCCAUCGCUCAACGGAUAAAAGGUACUCCGGGGAUAACAGGCUGAUACCGCCCAAGAGUUCAUAUCGACGGCGGUGUUUGGCACCUCGAUGUCGGCUCAUCACAUCCUGGGGCUGAAGUAGGUCCCAAGGGUAUGGCUGUUCGCCAUUUAAAGUGGUACGCGAGCUGGGUUUAGAACGUCGUGAGACAGUUCGGUCCCUAUCUGCCGUGGGCGCUGGAGAACUGAGGGGGGCUGCUCCUAGUACGAGAGGACCGGAGUGGACGCAUCACUGGUGUUCGGGUUGUCAUGCCAAUGGCACUGCCCGGUAGCUAAAUGCGGAAGAGAUAAGUGCUGAAAGCAUCUAAGCACGAAACUUGCCCCGAGAUGAGUUCUCCCUGACUCCUUGAGAGUCCUGAAGGAACGUUGAAGACGACGACGUUGAUAGGCCGGGUGUGUAAGCGCAGCGAUGCGUUGAGCUAACCGGUACUAAUGAACCGUGAGGCUUAACCU